CUGGCUUUGCUGCCAUCCUCAGCAUCCUCCACUGGAAGGUCAGGAGUGCUGUGCUCUGCCCAGAGUGCAGCUUGUCUGAUCUGAACAGACCAGUGAUCUCCUCAGCUGUGCUCCUGAGAGGGAAGUUCUUCAUUAUCCACAGAGAAGUUUUCUUGUAAUCAUGGUUCUGCUGUUUCUUCAGGUGCCUGAAUCUGUGUGCUCCCACUUGUAUUUUGUUCACAGCAACCUUAACAUCUUUCUUAGAGCUCUUUGGGAUGUGCAGGCAGCAGUGCAUGCAGUGAGAUGUGUGCAAGCUGCUGCAGCAAGACAAGACCAGCAGCAGUGCUAAGAAGGAAUGCAGUGAGCAGUGCUGCCAGGCUUUUCUCUUUGAGGGUACCAACCUCCUUCCCAUGCCAAACCCAAUUGUCACCAAAUAUCGCUGCCCCAUAAGUGCCAGCAGCAGCUCUCUGGGCUGCCUAAGGAAGUGGCUGUGUCCAGUUAUGCCUGCUGAGGUGGAGACCUGCAUAGCAACGAGGGAAAAGGAUUCAAAAGCCUUUUGGAUAAGGAGUGUCUGCAGGUGAUUGCAUAAAUACUGUGUGCUGCUGAUACUGGACAGGAUGAAGUCUUUGAAUCAUAUAGACAGAGUUGGCUUUUGAACUUGUAGCCCCUUUGAUUUAUUGGCUGCUGCCUCAGGAGUUUCUGUCUGGUUUAAAAUCAUGUCUGAAUUAUGUUUCUUCUAGCAGUUAUUUCCUGGCUUAGCUGUUCUAUGACUCUGUGUUUCCUUUCACUUACUGCUUAUCUUAAUCACUCUUAACUUUGCAAGUCUCCAUUUUGACUUCAUUUUCAAUAAACCUGUGCCUGUGUAAUAAAACCUCCCCAAAAGUGGCAAUUCUUAGCCAAGAGCUAAGCCAGCUCAGCUGUGCUUGUUUGCAAUGAAACUGCAAGCUCAUUAAACCAUAACAUUCAUUUACUUGUUGCCAGCUUAGAUGUGCUAUGAUGAAUCUAUCAUCUGCUC